rnacentral:lncRNA from 1 species
GGUUGUUCCACUGGAUAUCAUAAGGUCAAUGCACCAAUUUGUAAGUCGCUCUGGAUAAGAGCGUCUGCUAAAUGACGUAAACGUAAAUGUUUUACAUACGGACAUGUUGUUCACAAACUCUUUAUUUUAAAACAAACGAUUUCUACAAUCAUAAAUCAAAUGGAUACAGUUUAAAAAAGAUACGGCAUUAAAAUCCAAAGGCGGAUAUUUGCAAGAUUGAUGAUUGUAUUGAAUAGGGGACUCGUAUCUCAUUAAAACAAACUGUUGUUUGAUGAUCAUCAAUAGUCAGUGGCACAAUGGCUCUGUUGUGAAGCCAUCAAAAUAAGCAGAGAGAUGAUGAGAUGAUGAGGUCAGGAGGGCUGAGGGGGAACAAAAUGGUGGACUGAAACAACCUUCAUCAUGAGGAAGGUCAGGAGGGCUGAGGGGGAACAAAAUGGUGGACUGAAACAACCUUCAUCAUGAGGAAGGUCAGGAGGGCUGAGGGGGAACAAAAUGGUGGACUGAAAAAGCCUUCAUCAGUUGUUAUAAAGACUGUCACUACAAGCUUCCCGUUGGUUGACAGACCCAUUGCUUCACCAAUGAAGUUUGUAUUAAAGGCUGUGUGUUCCAAACUGGCUGCCUAUUCCCUAAAUAAUGCACUUCCUAUGGCUCCGGUCAAAAGUAGUGCACUAUAUAGGGAAUAGGGUGCCAGUUGGGACAUACGCCAAAGCUCCAACAGGUUCUAACUGAGAGAGUAAGACUGACUGUCUAUCAGAAGAGCGGUGAGCCUGCCAGGGCACAAGGAUGGAUGUGCUUGUGUUCCUUUCACCCUACCAGUUCACCAUUAAGACGGGACCAGACAAAGAGCAGCUCGUCUCAAGACUUGAUUCAGCAUAAAGAGCAGCUCGUCUCAAGACUUGAUUCAGCAUAAAGAGCAGCUCGUCUCAAGACUUGAUUCAGCAUAAAGAGCAG